UGCGGCCUCGAUCGAGAUUCGGCAUGUGGGGUGACGGCGGAGGAGGGGAAAGGAGGGGAGCAGCAACCAACAUCUUGGGCGGCGGUGGCUGGACUCCAUGAGCUGGCCGGCGACGGUGGCGGUGCUGGAUUCGAUCUGCAGGUGAGAGAGGGAGGUGUGGCUUCGAAUUGGAGAGGGACUCCACCGGCGUCGGCCCGCGCGAGGAUUGGUGCCGCUCUCCUCGUAGGCCCUCGCUCCAGGUCGCCGAGGAGGGGCUGUAGCCGAGUCUGCAUAGUUGAGGGUAGGGAGGGCUGAGGUGGGAGGGGAAGGAGAUGGUCAUGGAUCUACUCGAGAAGGUGAGAGGACGAAGACAGAGGGGGUGCUCGAGGUGGUCAAGGCGGAGCAGCAGAGGACGGCUCGUCCACGAGCUCAAGUUUAAGGCGGACGGCGGCCUCAACGGGUGGGUGACGACAUCUACACCUGGUUCCACCUUGCUGUGGCAAAAUAGGAGGCCAUUCGUGCAGUCAUGCAGCGGAUGGAGUCCUCGGCAGGUGGGUGAUGGAGGCUGUAGAUGAUGCACGAUGACGGCUCCCAGCGAGGUUCUAUUAAAUGUGAACAUGUUUGCGUCAAGGCUUUGUUGAUGGUUGAAGAAGAAAUCAAGGUCGCCAAAACUCGGGUGCUGCUGAAUUGCUAGAUUACUCCACUGCAAAAAAGUAAGAAGAGGCGCUGGACAGUGGCAAGAAGGAAGAGCUCGGGCCACCCGCGAUGCCAGGCCGCCGGCCCUCCUCCCUCAAGCUCAAGGCGGCGAAGAGAUGGUUGAGAUGGUGUUGCAGCUCCGCAGAUAUCAUACCCAUUCUGCAUAGAUCAUGCUUGAUGUACAAUGAUCUUUGAUAACACCAAAUUAUACAGGUUGGAGAGGAAACUGAAAGUGCAUCUGCUGAGGAUCCAAAGAACAUGCUUCCUGACCCCUCUAAGACCAAAAGGUGAAAACCCCUCCUAUAGAACAAAUUAGAUUGUUGUGUUAGAUUAUGGAACGGCUCCUGCUUUGGUAUAUGCAUUUGAUCUCUACUUUUUCUAAUAUAAGUUCUAAGGUUCAGCUAUUUUUCUGCUUGCUUCUUGGUCACAACAAUUACAAAUUUACUGAGUGCGGGUUUGUUACCAGGCUCAAUUCCUGUUCUGUACCUCACUGAUAUAUGCAGAUUAAUCACUUACUCACAAAAAAAACACAGCCUUUUACUAUUUAGUUACUCGCUAAUAAAUUGCAGAAUAGAUGCCUAAACAGAAAUACUACCCUCCCAUUUAGGAAUUUACGAAGCCUUCCCUUCUUUACAAUGAAAAACAUUGUUCCCUUUGUAUGUUGACUAUGUUUUCUCUCUUCACUGAUGCGUCUAAUGCUGUUUGAUCAGACUUUUCUUUCUAGAUUCAUGAGAGGGUCAGUAAAAUAUAUAUGUACC